rnacentral:rRNA from 1 species
AGUGAACGCUGGCGGCGUGCUUAACACAUGCAAGUCGAACGCGAAAGGGUAGCAAUAUCCGAGUAGAGUGGCGAACGGGUGAGUAAUGUGUGGGUAAUCUGCCUUCGAGAGGGGGAGUAACCCGGCGAAAGCUGGGCGUAAUACCGCGUAAUAUUGCGUUAUCUUCGGAUGAUGCAACCAAACGAUGGCCUCUAUUUAUAAGCUAUCGCUCGAAGAUGAGCCCACAUCCUAUCACGCUUGUUGGUGGGGUAAUGGCCCACCAAGGCGACGACGGGUAGCCGGCCUGAGAGGGUGUCCGGCCACACUGGAACUGAGACACGGUCCAGACUCCUACGGGAGGCAGCAGUGGGGGAAUUUUUUCGCAAUGGGCGAAAGACCUGACGAAGCAACGCCGCGUGGAGGAUGACGGCCCUAGCGGUCUUAAACUCCUGUCUAGCGGGACGAAUGUCUUUUGUCCAAAUAGGCAAGAAGAGUGACUGUACCGCU